GCUCAGCUAACUCAGUCGGUAGAGCCUGAGACUCUUAAUCUCAGGGUUGUGGGUUCAAGCCCCACACUGGGCU